rnacentral:rRNA from 1 species
UGAUUCAUGGCUCAGAUUGAACGCUGGCGGCAUGCCUUACACAUGCAAGUCGAACGGCAGCACGGGUGCUUGCACCUGGUGGCGAGUGGCGAACGGGUGAGUAAUACAUCGGAACGUGUCCUGUAGUGGGGGAUAGCCCGGCGAAAGCCGGAUUAAUACCGCAUACGAUCUACGGAUGAAAGCGGGGGAUCUUCGGACCUCGCGCUAUAGGGGCGGCCGAUGGCGGAUUAGCUAGUUGGUGAGGUAAAGGCUCACCAAGGCGACGAUCCGUAGCUGGUCUGAGAGGACGACCAGCCACACUGGGACUGAGACACGGCCCAGACUCCUACGGGAGGCAGCAGUGGGGAAUUUUGGACAAUGGGCGAAAGCCUGAUCCAGCAAUGCCGCGUGUGUGAAGAAGGCCUUCGGGUUGUAAAGCACUUUUGUCCGGAAAGAAAUCCUUGAUCCUAAUAUGGUCGGGGGAUGACGGUACCGGAAGAAUAAGCACCGGCUAACUACGUGCCAGCAGCCGCGGUAAUACGUAGGGUGCAAGCGUUAAUCGGAAUUACUGGGCGUAAAGCGUGCGCAGGCGGUGAUGUAAGACCGAUGUGAAAUCCCCGGGCUCAACCUGGGAACUGCAUUGGUGACUGCAUCGCUUGAGUAUGGCAGAGGGGGGUAGAAUUCCACGUGUAGCAGUGAAAUGCGUAGAGAUGUGGAGGAAUACCGAUGGCGAAGGCAGCCCCCUGGGUCAAUACUGACGCUCAUGCACGAAAGCGUGGGGAGCAAACAGGAUUAGAUACCCUGGUAGUCCACGCCCUAAACGAUGUCAACUGGUUGUCGGGUCUUCAUUGACUUGGUAACGUAGCUAACGCGUGAAGUGACCGCCUGG